GCGUUUUCCUGUUCCCCCGUCGUUUUGGCCUUCAGCCUAAGCGAGAGAUGCACCUACAACAGCUAGGGUUCCAACCACCACCGUCCUUGGCCCUCGACCGCCUCCCCUGUUCCCUCAGUAUGUUCAAGAGCCUCCGCCAAGCCCUCCUCCCUCACCACUCUCUCCGCGCGUCGGGGACGCACUCGACGUCGUCGCGCCUCCUCCUCGCGUUGGGAAACGCGUCGCCGCCGUCGUUUCAUCCGCAUGGCCGGCGAUGCAGACGCCGGCGUUGUUCAUCCACAAUCCACACAGCCAGGAACGACGCAAGCACUGACGCCCCCGUCUUCCUCACACUGCAGUAGUUCAGCCGGUCCUAUUCUGCCUCCCCGCAUCUGUACUUGUAUUAUGUAAAAGUAAUAUUCCCCGUUGUCCUCGCCCAUCCUUGUUUUUCCUUGCCGGUCGCAUCUUACAAGUUACAACACCAAUGGACUGCAUGCUUGUUGAUGAUUUUCCCUGCCUGCGUAGCUGCACAUGCUGAUUUCAAACCUACUAAGAUUUCCUAUUUUACGUGCAUCACUGAAGGGAACCGUUUAACUGACACAUAAGUUUCUUGUUGAAAUAAAUGCAGGAUUCUUCUACCCAAACGUCGAACAAGAGAUGAUUUCUGCAGAGAGACAACAAGUUCAGAACCUUUAUGGUAUUUUGCUUAGUGUGUCCCCUGCUCUCUCUCUCUCUCAUUACGUAAAUAUUGUGCUCAUGUUUUUGUGUAUCAUGCAUGUUGUUAAGGAAAUUACCAUAAUUUCGUGGUCAACCAAAAAGGCAUCUAAUCUUCAUCCCUUGAUCUCCCAGCUAGAGUUGGGGUAACCAAUUCUUAGUUUUUAAUUCAUGAUGGUUCUAAUUCACUUACAUUCAAGCCUCAUAAUGCUACUUUUAAGCCUCAUAACAAUCAGUAAAGUGUAAGACAAAAACCAUGUAGAAAAGCAAGUUCAACAACCUUUUUCACCAAGCUUAUACCUGAAUGGGCUGAUGCAUGUAGAUAUGAUAUGUAAUUUUAGUAAGACGGGAACAUGAAGAUUGAUGUUUCAAGUGAUGAUAAUGCAUAGGGACUGGAGGCGUGGUUUGAGGUGGCAGUUAACCGUGCAAUUUUCAUGAAGAAUGAUUGCGUACAUUUUUACUCAAUACUCGUUUCUUGUGAUGCAUUAGGUUUUAGUUUUCUUGCUGCUAUGUGUGUGGAUCAAUCCUUACUCUUUUUUCAUGCUGCUUGUGGUAUGAGUCCUUAUCUCUGCUUGGGGUGACGCUGCAAGAUCGGACGGAAACCAGACUUCUUAUGGUAGGCUCAGUCUCGUAUGUUCUUUUACCCUGCAGCUAAUCAAUUAUUCUGUGAUGUCCUCUCUUGUAUUCUAAUUAUGGCAUGCUCUUGUUUAUACUAAUUAGAUCAAGCACUCCUUCAAGGUCAAGUCAGGGGCUCAGGGUAGACAGUUCAUAGUUUUCUUGCUGUUUCGUCUUUCUGUUUGUUAGUUCAUUAUGCACGUCUUCUUUCUAUGCAUGUGUUGAUAACUCCAGUUGUUCCAAUCUGAUGAUGCUUUUUCUCGUGUUGUUGCUUCUGCAGGUUCUGAGAAUUUUACAUGGAUCAGGAAAUUCUAAUGUUUGACUUUGUAGUACUCAGAUUACCAAGAUAAAUUGAGGAUGCAUGACUCAUAUUUUGAUUGCAAGGCCAAGAAGAUUUUGAUUCCGAGGCAAAUAGUUAGGCUACAAGUCAAUUAGAAUGUAACUUUUAGUAUCAAUGUUUCAAACAUUAUAGUUGAUGGCAAGGUCAAUAAUUGGCCUACUACUAGAUAGUUUCACCUCUUGUAAUCUUUGGACCAUGUUCUUUGUAAUGCCACAUAUUUGAUUUAAUAUAUGAGACUGGAUUGUUUAUUA